GCGCCUGUAGCUCAAUGGAUAGAGUACUGGGCUUCGAACCCAGGGGUUGUGGGUUCGAAUCCCACCGGGCGCACCA
rnacentral:tRNA from 1 species